CACGGGAACUGUGGCUAAUACCGGAUAUGCCGAGAGGUGAAAGGCUAGCUGCCUGAAGAUGAGCUCGCGUCUGAUUAGCUAGUUGGUGUGGUAAGAGCGCACCAAGGCGACGAUCAGUAGCUGGUCUGAGAGGAUGAUCAGCCACACUGGGACUGAGACACGGCCCAGACUCCUACGGGAGGCAGCAGUGGGGAAUUUUCCGCAAUGGGCGAAAGCCUGACGGAGCAAUACCGCGUGAGGGAGGAAGGCUCUUGGGUUGUAAACCUCUUUUCUCAGGGAAGAAAAAAAUGACGGUACCUGAGGAAUACGCAUCGGCUAACUCCGUGCCAGCAGCCGCGGUAAUACGGAGGAUGCAA
rnacentral:rRNA from 1 species